rnacentral:rRNA from 1 species
AUUGAACGCUAGCGGCAUGCCUUACACAUGCAAGUCGAACGGCAGCACGGGAGCAAUCCUGGUGGCGAGUGGCGAACGGGUGAGUAAAGCAUCGGAACGUGCCCAGUCGUGGGGGAUAACGUAGCGAAAGCUACGCUAAUACCGCAUACGAUCUGUGGAUGAAAGCGGGGGACCGUAAGGCCCCGCGCGAUUGGAGCGGCCGAUGUGAGAUUAGGUAGUUGGUGAGGGAAAGGCUCACCAAGCCGACCAUCUGUAGCUGGUAUGAGAGGACGACCAGCCACACUGGGACUGAGACACGGCCCAGACUCCUACGGGAGGCAGCAGUGGGGAAUUUUGGACAAUGGGCGCAAGCCUGAUCCAGCAAUGCCGCGUGCAGGAUGAAGGCCUUCGGGUUGUAAACUGCUUUUGUACGGAGCGAAACGGCUUCCACUAAUACUGGGGGCUAAUGACGGUACCGUAAGAAUAAGCACCGGCUAACUACGUGCCAGCCGCCGCAGUAACAC